UUCGGGGUGGAUUAGUGGCGAACGGGUGAGUAACACGUGGGCAAUCUGCCCUUCACUCUGGGACAAGCCCUGGAAACGGGGUCUAAUACCGGAUAACACUCUGUCCCGCAUGGGACGGGGUUAAAAGCUCCGGCGGUGAAGGAUGAGCCCGCGGCCUAUCAGCUUGUUGGUGGGGUGAUGGCCUACCAAGGCGACGACGGGUAGCCGGCCUGAGAGGGCGACCGGCCACACUGGGACUGAGACACGGCCCAGACUCCUACGGGAGGCAGCAGUGGGGAAUAUUGCACAAUGGGCGAAAGCCUGAUGCAGCGACGCCGCGUGAGGGAUGACGGCCUUCGGGUUGUAAACCUCUUUCAGCAGGGAAGAAGCGAAAGUGACGGUACCUGCAGAAGAAGCGCCGGCUAACUACGUGCCAGCAGCCGCGGUAAUACGUAGGGCGCAAGCGUUGUCCGGAAUUAUUGGGCGUAAAGAGCUCGUAGGCGGCUUGUCACGUCGGAUGUGAAAGCCCGGGGCUUAACCCCGGGUCUGCAUUCGAUACGGGCUAGCUAGAGUGUGGUAGGGGAGAUCGGAAUUCCUGGUGUAGCGGUGAAAUGCGCAGAUAUCAGGAGGAACACCGGUGGCGAAGGCGGAUCUCUGGGCCAUUACUGACGCUGAGGAGCGAAAGCGUGGGGAGCGAACAGGAUUAGAUACCCUGGUAGUCCACGCCGUAAACGUUGGGAACUAGGUGUUGGCGACAUUCCACGUCGUCGGUGCCGCAGCUAACGCAUUAAGUUCCCCGCCUGGGGAGUACGGCCGCAAGGCUAAAACUCAAAGGAAUUGACG
rnacentral:rRNA from 1 species